ACUUUUGCCCCACCCUGUAUACUAAAAUUGGAACAAUACAGAGACAAUUAGCAUGGCUCCUGCACAAGAAUGGCACACAAAUUUGUGAAGCGUUCCAUAUUUUU